CCCUUAGAUGUCCUGGGCCGCACGCGUGCUACACUGAUACGUGCAACAAGUGAUUUUCCUGGUCCGGAAGGAUUCGGGUAAUCUUCUUAAUGCGUAUCGUGCUAGGGAUAGAUCUUUGAAAUUAUGGAUCUUGAACGAGGAACUCCUAGUAAGCAUAAGUCAUCAGCUUGUGCUGAUUACGUCCCUGCCCUUUGUACACACCGCCCGUCGCUGCUACCGAUUUUGAGUGGUCCGGUGAACCUUCUGGACCGUGUCUGGGCUUGACUCAGAUGUGGGAAGUUAAGUAAACCUUAUCACUUAGAGGAAGCAGAAGUCGUAACA
rnacentral:rRNA from 1 species